GGAAUAUUGGACAAUGGGCGAAAGCCUGAUCCAGCCAUGCCGCGUGAGUGAAGAAGGCCUUAGGGUUGUAAAGCUCUUUCACCGGGGAAGAUGAUGACGGUACCCGGAGAAGAAGCCCCGGCUAACUCCGUGCCAGCAGCCGCGGUAAUACGGAGGGGGCUAGCGUUGUUCGGAAUUACUGGGCGUAAAGCGCGCGUAGGCGGCUUGCCAAGUUGGGGGUGAAAGCCCGGGGCUCAACCCCGGAACUGCCUUCAAAACUGGCAGGCUCGAGGCCGAGAGAGGAGAGUGGAAUUCCCAGUGUAGAGGUGAAAUUCGUAGAUAUUGGGAAGAACACCAGCGGCGAAGGCGGCUCUCUGGCUCGGUCCUGACGCUGAGGUGCGAAAGCGUGGGGAGCA
rnacentral:rRNA from 1 species